AGUGAACGCUGGCGGUAGGCCUAACACAUGCAAGUCGAACGGCAGCACAGUAAGAGCUUGCUCUUACGGGUGGCGAGUGGCGGACGGGUGAGGAAUACAUCGGAAUCUACUUUUUCGUGGGGGAUAACGUAGGGAAACUUACGCUAAUACCGCAUACGACCUACGGGUGAAAGCAGGGGAUCUUCGGACCUUGCGCGAUUGAAUGAGCCGAUGUCGGAUUAGCUAGUUGGCGGGGUAAAGGCCCACCAAGGCGACGAUCCGUAGCUGGUCUGAGAGGAUGACCCGCCCACCGGGAACUGAGACACGGUCCAGCCCCCUACGGGGGGCAGCAGGGGGGAAUUUUGGAAAAGGGGCGAAAGCCUGAUCCAGCCAUACCGGGUGGGUGAAGAAGGCCUUCGGGUUGUAAAGCCCUUUUGUUGGGAAAAAAAAGCAGCAGGUUAAUACCCCGCUGUUCUGCGGGAACCAAAAAAAAAAGCACCGGCUAACUUCGU
rnacentral:rRNA from 1 species